UACGUAGGGUGCGAGCGUUAAUCGGAAUUACUGGGCGUAAAGCGUGCGCAGGCGGUUCGCUAAGACCGAUGUGAAAUCCCCGGGCUUAACCUGGGAACUGCAUUGGUGACUGGCGGGCUAGAGUAUGGCAGAGGUGGGUAGAAUUCCACGUGUAGCAGUGAAAUGCGUAGAGAUGUGGAGGAAUACCGAUGGCGAAGGCAGCCUCCUGGGCAAAUACUGACGCUCAUGCACGAAAGCGUGGGGAGCAAACAGG
rnacentral:rRNA from 1 species